rnacentral:rRNA from 1 species
CCCUUAGAUGUUCUGGGCUGCACGCGCGCUACACUGAAGCGUUCAACGAGUAUUCACCUUGCCCGGGAGGGUUGGGUAAUCUUUUGAAAACGCUUCGUGAUGGGGAUAGAUUAUUGCAAUUAUUAAUCUUCAACGAGGAAUUCCUAGUAAGCGCGAGUCAUCAGCUCGUGCUGAUUACGUCCCUGCCCUUUGUACACACCGCCCGUCGCUCCUACCGAUUGAGUGGUCCGGUGAAUUAUUCGGACUGCAACGCGUUCAGCUUCUGGAUGCAGUUGCGGAAAGUUUUGUAAACCUUAUCACUUAGAGGAAGGAGAAGUCGUAACA